rnacentral:rRNA from 1 species
UACGGAGGGUGCAAGCGUUGCUCGGAAUUAUUGGGCGUAAAGGGCAAGUAGGUGGUCUCAUUUGUCAGGGGUGAAAGCCUUGGGCUUAACUCAAGAAGUGCCCCUGAAACGCUGAGACUUGAGUCCUGGAGAGGCGAGUGGAAUUCCCGGUGUAGCGGUGAAAUGCGUAGAGAUCGGGAGGAACACCAGAGGCGAAGGCGGCUCGCUGGACAGGCACUGACACUCAACUGCGAAAGCGUGGGGAGCAAACAGG